rnacentral:lncRNA from 1 species
GGGGGCCUCGGUGGCCGAGUGGUCUAAGUAGUUACUACUGUAAUCACUAGCCAGUCAACACUGAGGUUGUGAGUUCGAACCUCGCUCGUGCAGGUGCACUCGACUCCAAUCUUAAUUGACUAGGAUUGUCAGUUUUCCUAUCGAAGGUCGGUGGUUUUCUCCGGGCUCUCCGGCUUCCUCCACCAAUAAAAACUGGUCGCCAUGAAAUAGCCCAAAAGCGGUGCUUAAAA